CAGGCCCUGAGUUCACACCCCAGGACUGGCAAAAAAAAUAAAUAAGAAAAAACUAGAUUGGAAGAGAUUUAAGGGUUUUGUUUAGAUUUGGAUUAAAAAAAAACUAUUUAAGACACUGAGGAAUUUGAGCACUGAUUGGUAGGAAUAAGAAGUUAUGAUGACUUAAUAGCCAGUUAAAUCUGACUUAAGUACUUACUGAAUUAUUAACAAACACUUGGAGGUAUGGGAUGGUUCAGAAUAGAGGUCUGUGAAGAUAUAAAUGGAAGAUGAUUUGCUGUGACUUACAAUGAA